GAUGAACGCUGGCGGCGUGCCUAAUACAUGCAAGUCGAGCGAACGGACGAGAAGCUUGCUUCUCUGAUGUUAGCGGCGGACGGGUGAGUAACACGUGGAUAACCUACCUAUAAGACUGGGAUAACUUCGGGAAACCGGAGCUAAUACCGGAUAAUAUUUUGAACCGCAUGGUUCAAAAGUGAAAGACGGUCUUGCUGUCACUUAUAGAUGGAUCCGCGCUGCAUUAGCUAGUUGUUAAGGUAACGGCUUACCAAGGCAACGAUGCAUAGCCGACCUGAGAGGGUGGUCGGCCACACUGGAACGGAGACACGGACAAGACGCCUACGGGAGGCAGCAGUAGGGAAUCUUCCGCAAUGGGCGAAAGCAUGACGGAGCAACGCCGCGUGAGUGAUGAAGGUCUUCGGAUCGUAAAACUCUGUUAUUAGGGAAGAACAUAUGUGUAAGUAACUGUGCACAUCGUGACGGUACCUAAUCAGAAAGCCACGGCUAACUACGUG
rnacentral:rRNA from 1 species